AAAUGAAUUGACGGGGACCUGCACAAGCGGUGGAUUAUGUGGUUUAAUUCGACGGUAAACGAAAAACCUCACCAGGGUUUGAAACCCAACUGUAAGCUUUUAGAAACAUUAGCCCUCCGCAAGGACAGUUGGACAGGUGAUGCAUGGUCGUCGUCAGUUCGUGGCUUGAGUUGUUCCUUUCAGUAGGGAAACGAACGCAACCCUUGUUGUAUGUUAUAAGUAUCAUACGAGACUGCCCAGCCCAUUGUUCGCAAAGAAAUUUGUAAACAACGGGCUGGGAGGAAGGAGAGGAUGACGCCAGAUCAGCAUGUCCCUUUGACACCCUGGGCUACACACAUAAUACAAUCGCACAGACAACGGGUCGCGACGGGGUAACCCUGAGCCAAUCCUUCAAACUGUGCGCCAGUUCAGAUUGAGGUCUGCAACUCGACCUCAUGAAGCCGGAAUCGCUAGUAAUCGCGGGUCAGCUAUACCGCGGUGAAUACGUUCUCAGGUCUUGUACACACCGCCCGU
rnacentral:rRNA from 1 species